rnacentral:rRNA from 1 species
AUUGAACGCUGGCGGCAGGCCUAACACAUGCAAGUCGAACGGUAACAGGAAACUGCUUGCUGUUUCGCUGACGAGUGGCGGACGGGUGAGUAAUGUCUGGGAAACUCCCUGAUGGAGGGGGAUAACUACUGGAAACGGUAGCUAAUACCGCAUAACGUCGCAAGACCAAAGAGGGGGACCUUCUGGCCUCUUGCCAUCGGAUGUGCCCAGAUGGGAUUAGCUAGUCGGUGGGGUAACGGCUCACCUAGGCGACGAUCCCUAGCUGGUCUGAGAGGAUGACCAGCCACACUGGAACUGAGACACGGUCCAUACUCCUACGGGAGGCAGCAGUGGGGAAUAUUGCACAAUGGGCGCAAGCCUGAUGCAGCCAUGCCGCGUGUAUGAAGAAGGCCUUCGGGUUGUAAAGUACUUUUAGCGGGGAGGAAGGGAGUAAAGUUAAUACCUUUACUCAUUGACGUUACCCGGAGAAGAAGCACCGGCUAACUCCGUG